GGGGGCAGAUGGGAGCAGAGCGGUCCGGUCCCAGGGCUCGCUCGGGAGCGCGAACGGAGAGAGAAGAGACAGCGUAGAGCCUGCGGGGGAGGAUAAUCGAGAGCUGUAGGUCUUGAUAUCGCUUCCCACUCUGAGCACGAGGAGGAGGCUCGGGAUGCCAAUCUGGUUCUCCAUGUCAUGGUACACGUGCGCCUGUGUUUCCGGAAGUAGUCUCUGAUUGUCGUGCACUCCUACGCCGCCGGUUCGCUAUUUUCUAUGGUUUUCAGUCCUCCGGAAGGUGAAACGCAUGCGCCCGGCAACACGGAAGUAGCGUCUUUCUGCAGGGACAGCUGUACACCAGCAGUACGCUGAUCUCUAUUGUACCCGGUCCUCCUGAUUGUUCUACGCAUGCGCACCGCAAUGCGCAGGUGCCGCCGCUCCGGUACGUGCAGUGCCGCAUGGCAGUCAGCGGGGAGCAGCGGAGAGCCGCUACGCAUGCGCAGUGUAUGACCUCCAGGAUGGUUUAGCACGCGUGCGCAAUUCACGUGGAGGACCGAUGACCAUAGAGCCUGCUGGAACCGGGGGCCUAGCGCGGCCUGCAGGAAGUCGCUGUGUUUACUUCCUGCUGCGUUGGGUUGCAGCUACGUGGCGGCGCGGCGGGCGCGAUGCGGAUCUUGAUGGUGAUGCUGCAGCCGAGGCCCUGUGAGCAGCAGUUACACUGCAGUACCCCUGCUACCCACAACGGCCUUCCAGUUAACUCUUCUCUGUAUUCUUAGAACGCUUCUUGGAGCAGUGCUGCAUCCAUCAGUGGUUUUUGUUCUCACAGCCAUGAACUCUGCAUGGGGAAGAACUGAUCAGUCUGCUCCAGUGGCUUGGCUGUAGAAGUGCUGAAAAGUCCUGCAAUCAUUUUGGAAGCCAGGGGCUUGCUGAAGAGUAUCUGAUACCCAUUGUGGAAGCUACAAAGCCUCAUCAUAACCUUGUUUGCACGUUUCCCACCUCUCCAUCUGUGGAACGUCUCUAAAACCACCAAUAUGAAUAAGAAGAUAAGUACCAACGUUACUUUGCAGCCUGAGCUCUGUACAGUCAGGCAGGAUGUUUUUAUUUGUUUCACACCAAGGAAAAAAUAACACCGGUGAACCUCCAGGUGGUUUUUGGCACAUCUGAAAGCUUCCCGUGGGCUCACCCAGCAGUCACGUGCAAUAGGGCACAAUGCACCACAGCACUGUGCAGGAGACACGCAGCCAAGAGCAACACUGCAGAACGCUUUCUGGGACAAAAUGACCUCACCAUAACGUUUGAACUGGGAUACACAAUUCCAGAGGCUUUGAUGUUAGUCCAGGCCAGGGGAUCCGAAAACAUAGUGUGAGUGUUGGGUUUUCCUGAUGAACUUUGCUAUCUAAGUGUUUUAUAGUUACUUUUUAUUCUUUGCAAUUAAAAUAACCAGGGAAAGAACCUUCUUUGUCUUUCUUUGUCCCUCGCUCAGUCUGUAGGGCAUUUUCACAUGCAAACAAAGUAUCACAACACUGCUCAAGUACUUCAACCUUCCUGGAAAAUAACACUUGAUGAGUAAGACACCAUUGAUUCUUUCAGUAGGGACUGUGAAAUAUGAGGAAUAAAGCACAGCAAGGCUUAUCACAGGAAGCAGGCAGAAAUGAAGGGACUCUGAGGGUGACCUGUCCUGCUUAGAGCACGGAGGCUGCUCCCAAAAAUGCCUGUGCAAGUACUAUGGCCUUGUCAGCAUUCUCUUUAGGUACUCAGCAGUUGCACCAAAUACAACAUCCCCUGUAAUGUAUUGCAUGGAUCCUAUCUGCAAUUGUUUAAACCUGGUGCUUUUUUAAAGACCAUUACCCUUUUUACCAAUUGCCUUCAGCACAACUGGCUCUUUAUGGCAUGUUUACAGUAUAUAUUAGAGAGAGCGGAGUGUGUAAAUUCCUCCCAUGCCGGCAGUGGUGGUCUGAUGCAGAACAGGCUGCCUCUGUGCAAAGGCUGCACAUGAAAAUAGCAGAGGGAAGACAACGUAUCCACAGUGGAUGAGCCUUUCUGAGUUGGGUGUACAUGCGUUCCAGAUGCAAGGAUGGCCCAACUGUUAGAAUACAUCGUAUGACAACGUCUUCUCACUGUAGCCAACAGUAGAGAGCACUCGUUUGUUCUAAAGAAAGCUCUGGAAAACACCCUUGUUCAUUUCUCUCCGAGAUCAUAAGAAAUCAAGAGGGUACAAAUGAACUGAGAAACCAUUUCAUGUCUAAUAGGCCACUCCUGUUCAGGUUGGGUGUUAGGGAGAUGCUGAAGAGUGGUGAGGUCGGAGCAGGCUGUGUGGGCAGGCAGUGGAAUCAGCCCCCCUGAAGUGCUCGAGAAGAGGGUUGUGUGGCUCUGAAGGCCGUGGUCCGGAGCGCUCACCGGCCUGCUAUUCUCACAGAGAUAAAGGAGGGCGAGAAGGAGAAAAUUCUGAAGCUAGAGAGCUCAAUUUUAAACCAGAAAUCUGAGCGAUUCUCUGGAGGGAAAAGAAAAGCAUUGCUUUCCCUUCAUAGCUCCCAAGUGAAACAUGAAAGCUGCGUGUCCAGCCAAGCGCUUGGGGUCUCCCGGCUGUGCCCGUGACGUUAACUCUCCAUGUUUACUGCAUGAGGAGAGCUCCCUGAGCGCAGCGUUACGCCCGAGCACGGUGUGCAGCCCGGGCUGCCCGGCUGGCAUCGCCCCGGCCCAGCGGGGCCCACGGAUGUGUGCGUGAGCAGCCACAGUCACACGGACACCGGCAGCCUCACAGCGAGAGCGCCGCAAAAUCCCUCGAUGACGACUGAAGCAAUUUCGGCUUUUAAAAAAAAAAAGAAAGCAGGCUUUGCCAAGCGUCCUUGUUUUGGACUUGCCUUGACCUCGCUCCCACCGGCCGCAGCUUUCUGCCCAGCAUCCCGGUGAUGGCCAGUGCUGCGGGCGUUUGCUUCUCGCACCGAUUCGCGGGGUGGAAGCGCUGCCUGCCCUCCCACCUCAGCUCCAGCAGCCCUCUGCUCGGGUUGCCCUGGAGACAAAGCUUCCUGUGCGUAAUCCAAGCUUAUCCAGCUCCUUAUCCUACAUGUGACCCUUAAUUACUUGCUAAAUUAGAAUGGUUUUCUGAAAAUCACAAGGGGAGGUUAAUAUGUUCUUCCAGAGCUGGUCAAGCUAAGAUGACACUAAAUUCACAGGGAAUUCAAAUUACAUGAUCCCUGAAGGCGUCUCUUUCAGAAGGAAGAUGAACUUUCCCAAUAGGAGGCAGUGUGCCAUGAUAAUGCUUCUGUCACUCACUUUCCUUGUCCUGCUUGUCUAGCUGCAGCCUAAUCUGCUAUGAACAAUGUAGUAAGUAAAUAUCAGGUUGAUUAAUUAUGGUGCGAGAUUCAGUAACUGCUUGUCUUCUAUAAUUAACACGGUCAUUGAAAUUAAGUAACACACUUCAUACGUGGAUUCCUGGACUAAAAGAAAUAACACGGGAGAAUCCUCAGGGCUGUCGCAGGGGAGGUGAGGGAAUAACAACAGAGGGUCAAAAUAUUAAUUAUCUCUUCAAAAUGACUGUACGUUUUAAGAUGUGCUUCACACGAGAAGGGACUUUACUGCUUCUGCAUGUCCCCACAGAGACAAAACAGAGUAGGUCUGUGAAAAUACUGCUUCUGUUUGCUGACAGCACGCCUUUCUUUCACCGCUGUGAUAGAUGGAAGCGGUCAGAACAGGCGCACAUCGCGCAGAUAUGCUCACCCACCUUCCUAAGGGCAAGCACGGAAGGAACUCUGAGCUCAUGUGGUCAGGACAGCCUGGAGGGGUUGCUCGCUUUCCCAGCGCUUUGAGCGCUUCUCCCAAAAGUUCUGAUUUUCACAGAAGCACAGAAGAAUACAGUUUCUGCAUUCAAACUAUGAGGGUGGAAAACAAAGUCACCCACAUUCAGUGAUUUCCCUCCGCCUUCGAGUCCCCCAUACAACAUUAGGAAAAAGCCAGGACCUUCCUGGGACCACUGCCUUCUUUGGAGAAGGGUCGGUUCAGAGGUGUGGGCCGGAUUUUCACACUCAUCACAGGAACCUCAUGGCUGCCAUAAGAAAACAGACUGAAUACCUAAAUAAAUGAAUGGGGAGCACGGGGUCUGGUGACACAGAUUCCCCUGGGAAUAAAAGAAAGAGGCAAUUACUGUUCUCUCUCAGUCCAGUGAGAACGUGUAAAGGAACCAGCAAAGUGUCACGUCUUCUGCUAUCCCCUCAUGUAGACCAGACCAGAGAAGUGUAGAAAGGAAGAAAAUGCUACCACUGAAAAUAAUCCUUUUAAGUGCUAGGCUACAAGGCUGCAGCAAGCUGUGAUUGGUUCCUCUCACAGCAAAACCAACAGGGGAACGAAGGUAUCUGAAUAAGAGAUCCCCUUCUAAACGUACCGAUUUUCUUGUGCCUUUGGAUUGACAUCACUACCAGGAAUGAAGAUAAUCAAUUUGAGGGAGGGGGAAUAUGCUAAACACUUGAGAUUGUGUCCAGCUCUUAAGAUACCUGCAUUCCUUGUUUAUUUCUUUGUUUUAUAUCCUUUUGAUCAGUAGCUUAGAAAAAGAACAGAAAAUAGUCAUACAAUAAUGCCUUGCAGCCUGUGGCAUAUUCCAUUUCAGGAUCCUAACAAAAGGUCUGUAGGCAUGUAAGAAUAGUUUCAGUCUAAGUUUAGUUCAGUCUGGAAAAGCUUUUUAGUUCCCUGUAAUAAAAUGGAGCAAAUUAGUUCGAACAAGAAAGAGUAACAACACAAGUAGUGCUUGAGGGAUCUAGGAAGGCAGGCAGCGAGAUCCUUCAGUUAGCCAAGUCUGGCAAUUAACUCACCAAUUAACUCACAAAAAAGACUUCAACGGGUUUCACAGUGACCAACAGACCCUGCCAGUGGGGUCUCCUAGUCUUCAGGGUAUGGCAGGUAAGCUGUGAGAAAUCCUAGUGGUCAUCACAGGCUUUCUCUGGGCAUUCUGUGAUCACUACUGCCUCAGCAGGGAGCAGCAAGGGCUGUGUGCUGGCACGUCGGCUGCUCCAAUUUGUAGCCCAGCAUAUAAUUCCAAAUGUAGCUUGUCAGCAGUUUGCACUAAGAAACUUCUCUGAGGCUGGAGUACACUCUCCUCCUGGUCAGCUCCUCUAGCACCAUUAUAACCUUUCCAAGCACCAGAGCAGGCUUGCCCAAGGGGCUGGAACUUUUCCUUUGUUUCAAGGCUGAAACUGAUCAUAGACCAUGGAAUAUUUCUGUUAUCUAAAAUAUGCAUCUACGGUUCACUGCUUUCUUUGAGUCAACAGCAAAAUAAUAAUAACAAUAAUAAUAAUUUUAAAAAAUCAACAAAUUUUACUGGAAGCACAUCCACAGUAUUUUUUUAUGUGGCUACUAAGUAUUGAUGCCGGAAAGUUGCUGGAAAUUAAGUGUGUAAUUAAUGCUAAGAACUGCAUUUUGACAGUUUUUAGUCUGAAGAACUCUCUUCCUCUGGUGUUAAAGGAGCCUGCUAGUGAUCUAACUUUUGCAUACGGAAGGAUGUGCAAGCCGCAGAUUGCGAGAGCACUACCCUGCUUAGUCUAGGGAGAGAAUACAGAUUGUUAUUAUUUAGAUGGUAGAGAGGAAAAAUCAUCUCCCCCAGUGUGGUAGUGAUGCUCUUCUGUUAAGGUGCUGUUGGACACCUUUGCUUCAAGGGAGGUAUUGCUGUUCUAUGACUGAUUUGUUGUCCACCAGGACCUGAAGUCAUUCUCCCCAGGGCUGCCUUCCAGCUGGUUGCUCCCCAGCCUCUCCUGGUGCAUGUGUUCCACCGCAGAUGAAGGACUUUGCAUUUCCCUUUGUUGAACUUCAGGAGAUUCUGCUGGCCCAUUCCUGCAGCCUGCCCAGGUCUCUCUAGAAUCAGACCCACAGUUACACGCCAGGCCUAAGAAACUGACAGACUUUCUUCUUCUAGAUAGAAUAGGGCUAAGAAAGUUGAUGGAAGUGUGUAUGGGGUAAGUAGAGAAAAACUGGUUGUCGAUGACACUCCUUAUUCUGAACACUUAAAGCCUUAGCUGCGCUGUUCUAAGCAUCGCUGUUUGAUUAUGUAAUGCUUAGGGGGUUGUUUCUGCUUUUGGACUGGGUAGACAAAAACUUUACACUGUGAGAAAAGCCAGAAAGGGGCAUGAGAGCAACGCUCAUAGGAAAAUGCAGUCAGUGAUUUUCUUUUAUGUCUAGAAAAUUGUAAAUAACCGUAGCAAUAUCUGUUCUGCCUUUGCACAGCUAUGCACAAAAAGCUCACUGGGACCACUCACAUCAUUUUCAGUCGUUAUCAGCCAUAGCCAGUGGCAGAGAGUAUCUGCAACAUGCGUGCUUUGCAACAUCUUCAAAUGCAGGCAUCUGUAAACUGAGAUUCCCUUUCUGAAAGCUGGUAUGUGAUUAAAGCAUGGUUGUUGGAAUGUCUCUGACUGCUUUAAAGUAAUCUAAAGGCUCGUAUAAUGGAUUAAAAAGAUUCCUUUUGUGUUCGAACAAAUACACAUGAUAUUGAGAAGCAUUUUCCUGACUGCUCUAGAGUGCAGUAAGCAAGAGAGAAACACUUCACUAUGCUUGCUAUACAAGGAGUCCAGAAUGGUGACAGCAGAGGUAAAUGCCUAUGCUGUAGACAUAGAUGUGCAAGAAGUGAAGUUAGAUUAAUCUACUACAUAACCACAGACAAGCCAAUUACUUACUAUCUCAGGCUAGGGCCACAUUCCAAAAUUUUGCCUGUGUUAAUGACAGGAAGCAGUGCUUUACUGUCCCUGGACACAGGGGCCUGGGCACCCUGCUCUGGGUGGCACCAAAGGGGCAGUUGUUGGACCAGAUGGACCAGAGGUACUUCCAACCUCAGCCAGUCUGUGAUCCUGUGACAAACGUGUUCUGGUUGUGUCCUCAACUAAAUUACACCUGCCAACUUUGCCAUGUAUGUGCAAUUCUGAAGUGCAAGAAAACUUGCAAAGUUUACUAACAGUUUAUGCUGUUAAAGAAGAUGCCUUACAUGUAUCAGUGAGAGUCCUUUGUGCUGGUGUACACUGUGCACAGCACUGUGCUUUCUGUAGAAAAACUUGGACGUCAACACCUUCGCAGAGCUGGUACAACAACAAACAAGUUCAUGUCAACAGAACAUUCUGUGAGGCACAGUGUGUAUUUGUAGAACUAAAGACCUUCAGCAACAAAGGUAUUUUCUGGGAUAGAAGUUACAACUGAGACCACGGUGAUCUCAACAGUAGUUUUUGCAACCGGCGUGGCCUUUCAUGAAGACUUUCUGGCAGUUUACUCUGAUGGGACCCUCCCAGAAGAGCAACAUUGGUACACACACGCUCACAUGAAAGGACCCAAUCUUUAAGGCAUUAACCAAACCUUCCUGGCGCUGCAGGGCUGAGUUUCACAGAGUAAAUGCAAAGGCCACAAAGGGAAGCUAUUGAGAAAAUGGGUCAUUCACUACUCUUUUAAAUAAAAUGAUUUGACGUUUGAUGUCCCUGAAGUCUAUGCCACUUAGCCAACAUAUAUGUAAAGUGUACAUUUAUGUGUAUGUAUCUGCAAGUUUGUGUGCCUACACAUGUAUGUACAUACAGUUUGGUUACUUCAUUUUCCUCGACCAAGGGAAAGGAGUAGCUGAACUGUAGCAGUUAUUGCAGCGUAGAGGAACUUUCAGAACAACGUGAUUAUACAAGCUAAGUGGAGUUUUCCUUUUUGACAGUGUGGUAAUUAAGAAAUACCCAUAUGGUGAUCUGGGGAAUCCCAUUCCCUGACUACAGACCGCUGUGAAGCAGUCUGGAGUUUCACAUGUUGUGUGACAAUUAUGAAAUAACUGUGAAUUACUAUAUAAUAUAAAGGGGCACAAUCAGUCAAACGACAGAUGAGUUGACUGCAGUGAUGGCAUAUGCAAAAGCAGCUGCAUAAUGUUCUCUUUUACCCACAAGUACGGUGAAAAAACUUAAUGUAAUGUCAUGAAGUUCUGCAGCCCCAUGUUAGCUCUCUUGAAUUAUGAACUGUUCCACGCUUGUGCCUUUAAACUGUAGAUUUCAGACAUGCUUAUGUGUGGGGGUAAUAAAGAGAUUCGUUUCAA